GGAAUAUAUAAGUAUUAAGGAGAAGCUUCUAACUUCUGCUAGAGCGGUUAAAUUCCGUUCAUGUUCCU
rnacentral:tRNA from 1 species